rnacentral:lncRNA from 1 species
AUGUUGAUUUGGUCUUGCCCUGAAGAUGGCAGCACCUCCAGAGAGAAUGAAGAAAGGGUGAGCUGUGGAGCCUGCUNUUCCAGUGAGGAAGUGGUCUUCAAUAAAAGCAAUUCGCAGCUUUGUUGCCCCCAUCCCACUUGCCGCAGUGGGCCCCAGUCUCCUCUGCGUUUGAUGGGCCACUUCGCAGAAGGCACUUGCUGUAUGGAGGCGGGGAGGGAAAGGACCUUCUGCCUGUUUGUUCCCCUCUUCAAACGUCUGCUGCCAUCCGCGUCGUCUUGUCAAACACAUGUUUCUAAACUUGUGUUUGGAAAGUGCGAAGAAANAAAGAGUUAGAUCUGCCUUGGGAGAGUUAAGAAAAAUAAAUCCGUAUUUUAAAAAGACA